UAACGCUAACCAACCCAAUGUUAGACACAGGUGAAAAAGGUUUCUGGGGGAAGUGUUUGCCUCGAGGUCAUGGUGCAAAGGACCCUAAGGUGAAAUUACUCCGAACCAUCACUUUAACUUAAAGGUGAAAAGAGAGAGAGAAA